rnacentral:rRNA from 1 species
CGCGAUGGAGGGGGAUAACUACUGGAAACGGUAGCUAAUACCGCAUAACGUCGCAAGACCAAAGAGGGGGACCUUAGGGCCUCUUGCCAUCGGAUGUGCCCAGAUGGGAUUAGCUAGUAGGUGGGGUAACGGCUCACCUAGGCGACGAUCCCUAGCUGGUCUGAGAGGAUGACCAGCCACACUGGAACUGAGACACGGUCCAG